GAUGAACGCUAGCUACAGGCUUAACACAUGCAAGUCGAGGGGAAACGAUGAGAUAGCUUGCUACCUUAGUCGUCGACCGGCGCACGGGUGAGUAACGCGUAUCCAACCUGCCUCUGACCAAGGGAUAACACUUCGACAGUCGGACUAAUACCUUAUGCAGUCGUCGGAAGUCAUCUGAUGACGAUGAAAGAUUUCAUCGGUGAGAGAUGGGGAUGCGUCUGAUUAGCUUGUUGGCGGGGUAACGGCCCACCAAGGCGACGAUCAGUAGGGGUUCUGAGAGGAAGGUCCCCAACAGUGGAACGGAGACACUGGCCAAACGCUUACGGGCGGAAGCAGUGAGGAAGAAUGGUCAAUGAGUGUAAGACUGAAGCAGCCAAGUAGCGGGCAGGACGACGGGCGGAUGGGUUGUAAACUGCUUUUAUGAGGGGAUAAAGUGAGGGACGUAUCCUUCAGUGAAGGUACCGAAUGAAGAAGGACCGGCUAAUUACGUG
rnacentral:rRNA from 1 species